rfam:Corynebacterium glutamicum ATCC 13032 DNA, complete genome.
GCAGGGAGCGCGUGUAUGGACUCUGCUCGAGGAGUGGCUCUGGUGUACUUCCCCGACAUCAGAUCGAGACUUUUCGAGUGGGGCCCUGUACGCACUCCGUGAUUUG